rnacentral:rRNA from 1 species
AUUGAACGCUGGCGCCAGGCCUAACACAUGCCAGUCGAGCUAGCGGCGGACGGGUGCGUAAUGUAUGGGGACUGCCCUAUAGAGGGGGAUAACUACUGGAAACGGUAGCUAAUACCGCAUACUAUCGGAUAACCCAUAUGGGAUUAGCUAGUAGGUGAGGUAAUGGCUCACCUAGGCGACGAUCCCUAGCUGGUCUGAGAGGAUGAUCAGCCACACUGGGACGUAGACACGGCCCAGACUCCUACGGAGGCAGCAGUAGGGAAUAUUGCACAAUGGGCGCAAGCCUGAUGCAGCCACGCCGCGUGUAUGAAGAAGGCACUAGGGUUGUAAAGUACUAGCAGUCGGGAAGCGUUACCGACAGAAAAAGCACCGGCUAAGGCCGGGCCAGCAGCCGCGGUAAUAC